UUGAGAAAGUGUUCUUUGUUCUACCAAAUACAAUUCAGGUGGCUGCUGGGAAUUAUUAAUAAGCAUAUGCAAAUAACCCGGAAGCCGGCAGAGCAGGAGCCGCCGCCGUCCCAGAAGCCUCCGGGAAGCGGCCGCGCUGCGCGGACGUCUCGUUGGUCGCGGGGAGGAUGGCGGCGCCGGAGCCGGCGCGUUAGGGCGAGUGCGGCCCGUCUGCUCGGCUGGGCGCUCGGCUGGCCCGGAGCCGGGGCGUCCUGAC